UGGGGAUGUGGCUCAGUGGUAGAGUGCUUGCCUAGUAUGCAACAAGGUCCUGGGUUCAAGCCCCAGCACCACAA